rnacentral:rRNA from 1 species
UACGUAGGGGGCGAGCGUUGUCCGGAGUUACUGGGCGUAAAGGGCAUGCAGGCGGUCCGACACGUUUUGUGUGACAGCGGGUGGCUUAACUACCCGAGGAUACGAAAGACGGUUGGACUUGAGGACUCGAGAGGGACACGGAAUUCCGGGUGGAGUGGUGAAAUGCGUAGAGAUCCAGAGGAACACCGAAGGCGAAGGCAGUGUCCUGGCGAGUGACUGACGCUGAGGUGCGAAAGCCAGGGGAGCGAACGGG